AGCGAACGCUAGCGGCGGGCCUAACACAUGCAAGUCGAGCGCAUACCUUCGGGUAUGAGCGGCGGACGGGUGAGUAACACGUAGGUAAUCUACCCUUUGGUGGGGAAUAACCCGGGGAAACUCGGGCUAAUGCCGCACGAGGUCUACGGAUCAAAGCCUUCGGGCGCCAGAGGAUGAGCCUGCGUUGCAUUACCUAGUUGGCGGGGUUAACGGCCCACCAAGGGGACGAUGCAUAGCUGGUCUGAGAGGAUGAUCAGCCACACUGGGACUGAGACACGGCCCAGACUCCUACGGGAGGCAGCAGUGGGGGAAUAUUGCGCAAUGGGGGGAAACCCUGACGCAGCUACGCCGCGUGGGUGAUGAAGGCC
rnacentral:rRNA from 1 species